rnacentral:rRNA from 1 species
UACGGAGGAUCCAAGCGUUAUCCGGAUUUAUUGGGUUUAAAGGGUGCGUAGGCGGAAUUGUAAGUCAGUGGUGAAAGCCCUUCGCUUAACGAAGGAACUGCCAUUGAUACUGCAAAUCUUGAGUACAUUUGAUGUGGGCGGAAUGUGUCAUGUAGCGGUGAAAUGCUUAGAUAUGACACAGAACACCGAUUGCGAAGGCAGCUCACAAAACUGUAACUGACGCUGAGGCACGAAAGCCAGGGGAGCAAACGGG